AAUACCGCGUAACACCUUUUGGGAGCAUUCCCGGGAGGUUAAAGGAGAGAUCCGGCAUAGGAUGGACAUGCGUCGCAUUAGGUAGACGGCGGGGUAACGGCCCACCGUGCCGACGAUGCGUAGGGGUUCUGAGAGGAAGGCCCCCCACACUGGUACUGAGACACGGACCAGACUCCUACGGGAGGCAGCAGUGAGGAAUAUUGGUCAAUGGCCGAGAGGCUGAACCAGCCAAGUCGCGUGAGGGAAGAAUGUCCUAAGGAUUGUAAACCUCUUUUGUCGGGGAGCAAAAAGGCUCUGCGGAGUCGUAUUGAGAGUACCCGAAGAAAAAACAUCGGCUAACUCCGUGCCAGCAGCCGCGGUAAUACGGAGGAUGCGAGCGUUAUCCGGAUUUAUUGGGUUUAAAGGGUGCGCAGGCGGCGUGUCAAGCAAGCGGUAAAAUAGCGGGGCUCAACCCCGUCGAGCCGUUUGAACUGGCGCGCUUGAGUUCAGGCGAGGUAGGCGGAAUUCGUGGUGUAGCGGUGAAAUGCAUAGAUAUCACGAAGAACUCCGAUUGCGAAGGCAGCUUACCAGUCUGCGACUGACGCUCAGGCACGAAAGUGUGGGUAUCGAACAGGAUUAGAUACCCUGGUAGUCCACACAGUAAACGAUGAGCGCUAGGUGUCCGGGUCGCAUGAGACUUGGGUGCCCGAGC
rnacentral:rRNA from 1 species